rnacentral:rRNA from 1 species
GACGAACGCUGGCGGCGUGCUUAACACAUGCAAGUCGAACGGCAAGGCCCUGCUUUUGUGGGGUUCUCGAGUGGCGAACGGGUGAGUAACACGUGAGUAACCUGCCCUUGACUUUGGGAUAACUUCAGGAAACUGGGGCUAAUACCGGAUAGGAUCUCCUGCUGCAUGGUGGGGGUUGGAAAGUUUCGGCGGUUGGGGAUGGACUCGCGGCUUAUCAGCUUGUUGGUGGGGUAGUGGCUUACCAAGGCUUUGACGGGUAGCCGGCCUGAGAGGGUGACCGGCCACAUUGGGACUGAGAUACGGCCCAGACUCCUACGGGAGGCAGCAGGGGGGAAUAUUGCACAAUGGGCGGAAGCCUGAUGCAGCAACGCCGCGUGCGGGAUGACGGCCUUCGGGUUGUAAACCGCUUUCGCCUGUGACGAAGCGUGAGUGACGGUAAUGGGUAAAGAAGCACCGGCUAACUACGUG